GUUCACAGUUUUGUAUUGCCUACUUGUUGUCCCCAUAUAUAUAUAUAUAUAUAUAUAUAUAUAUAUAUAUAUAUAUGGGGACAACAAGUAGGUAAUACACAUAUAUAUGUGGACAACAAGUAGGCAAUACAAAACUGUGAACU